UACAGAGGGUGCGAGCGUUAAUCGGAAUUACUGGGCGUAAAGCGCGCGUAGGCGGCUUUGCAAGUCGAGUGUGAAAUCCCCCAGGCUCAACCUGGGAACUGCAUUCGAGACUGCAUAGCUAGAGUAUGGGAGAGGGAAGUGGAAUUUCAGGUGUAGCGGUGAAAUGCGUAGAUAUCUGAAGGAACAUCAGUGGCGAAAGCGACUUCCUGGACCAAUACUGACGCUCAUGUGCGAAAGCGUGGGGGAGCAAACAGG
rnacentral:rRNA from 1 species